AGGACGAACGCUGGCGGCGUGCUUAACACAUGCAAGUCGAACGGGCGUAGCGAUACGUCAGUGGCGGACGGGUGAGUAACGCGUGAACAAUCUGCCUCAUACAGGGGGAUAACACUGAGAAAUCAGUGCUAAUACCGCAUAAGACCACAAGAUCGCAUGGUUUAGUGGUAAAAGGGAUUACCGGUAUGAGAUGAGUUCGCGUCCCAUUAGGUAGUUGGCGGGGUAACGGCCCACCAAGCCUGCGAUGGGUAGCCGACCUGAGAGGGUGGCCGGCCACACUGGAACUGAGACACGGUCCAGACUCCUACGGGAGGCAGCAGUGGGGAAUAUUGGGCAAUGGAGGAAACUCUGACCCAGCAACGCCGCGUGAGUGAAGAAGGUCUUCGGAUUGUAAAGCUCUGUGGGCAGGGAAGAAGACAGUGACAGUACCUGCACAGCAAGCCACGGCCAACUACGUG
rnacentral:rRNA from 1 species